rnacentral:tRNA from 1 species
UUUCUAAAUAGUUUAAAGAGAAUAAAAUUUUGAAGCAAUUUAGGUAGUAUAACUUUUAGAA